rnacentral:rRNA from 1 species
UACGUAGGGUGCAAGCGUUGUCCGGAAUUAUUGGGCGUAAAGAGCUCGUAGGCGGUCUGUUACGUCUGCUGUGAAAACCCGGGGCUUAACCCUGGGCUUGCAGUGGAUACGGGCAGACUAGAGGCAGGUAGGGGAGAAUGGAAUUCCCGGUGUAGCGGUGAAAUGCGCAGAUAUCAGGAGGAACACCGAUGGCGAAGGCAGGUCUCUGGGCCAUUACUGACACUGAGAAGCGAAAGCAUGGGGGAGCGAACAGG